CUCAGGAUGAACGCUAGCGGCAGGCCUAACACAUGCAAGUCGAGGGGUAACAUGAGUGCUUGCACUUGAUGACGACCGGCGCACGGGUGCGUAACGCGUAUACAAUCUACCUUUUGCUGAGGAAUAGCCCAGAGAAAUUUGGAUUAAUGCCUCAUAGUAUGCAGACUUCGCAUGGAGACUGUAUUAAAGGUUACGGCAAAAGAUGAGUAUGCGUCCUAUUAGUUAGUUGGUAAGGUAACGGCUUACCAAGACAGCGAUAGGUAGGGGCCCUGAGAGGGGGAUCCCCCACACUGGUACUGAGACACGGACCAGACUCCUACGGGAGGCAGCAGUGAGGAAUAUUGGACAAUGGAGGCAACUCUGAUCCAGCCAUGCCGCGUGCAGGAAGACUGCCCUAUGGGUUGUAAACUGCUUUUAUACGGGAAGAAACACCACUACGUGUAGUGGCUUGACGGUACCGUAAGAAUAAGGAUCGGCUAACUCCGUGCCAGCAGCCGCGGUAAUACGGAGGAUCCAAGCGUUAUCCGGAAUCAUUGGGUUUAAAGGGUCCGUAGGUGGAUAAUUAAGUCAGAGGUGAAAGUUUGCAGCUCAACUGUAAAAUUGCCUUUGAUACUGGUUAUCUUGAAUCAUUAUGAAGUAGUUAGAAUAUGUAGUGUAGCGGUGAAAUGCAUAGAUAUUACAUAGAAUACCAAUUGCGAAGGCAGAUUACUAAUAAUGUAUUGACACUGAUGGACGAAAGCGUAGGUAGCGAACGGGAUUAGAUACCCCGGUAGUCUACGCCGUAAACGAUGGAUACUAGCUGUUGGACUUCGGUUCAGUGGCUAAGCGAAAGUGAUAAGUAUCCCACC
rnacentral:rRNA from 1 species